rnacentral:tRNA from 1 species
GGCUCGUUGGUCUAGGGUAUGAUUCUCGCUUUGGGUGCGAGAGGUCCCGGGUUCAAAUCCUGGACGAGCCC